UACGUAGGUGGCAAGCGUUGUCCGGAAUUAUUGGGCGUAAAGCGCGCGCAGGCGGUCCUUUAAGUCUGAUGUGAAAGCCCACGGCUCAACCGUGGAGGGUCAUUGGAAACUGGGGGACUUGAGUGCAGAAGAGGAAAGCGGAAUUCCACGUGUAGCGGUGAAAUGCGUAGAGAUGUGGAGGAACACCAGAGGCGAAGGCGGCUUUCUGGUCUGUAACUGACGCUGAGGCGCGAAAGCGUGGGGAGCAAACAGG
rnacentral:rRNA from 1 species